rnacentral:rRNA from 1 species
GAUGAACGCUGGCGGCGUGCCUAAUACAUGCAAGUAGAACGCUGAAGCUUGGUGCUUGCACCGAGCGGAUGAGUUGCGAACGGGUGAGUAACGCGUAGGUAACCUGCCUGGUAGCGGGGGAUAACUAUUGGAAACGAUAGCUAAUACCGCAUAACAGUAGAUAUUGCAUGAUAUCUGCUUGAAAGGUGCAAAUGCAUCACUACCAGAUGGACCUGCGUUGUAUUAGCUAGUUGGUGAGGUAACGGCUCACCAAGGCGACGAUACAUAGCCGACCUGAGAGGGUGAUCGGCCACACUGGGACUGAGACACGGCCCAGACUCCUACGGGAGGCAGCAGUAGGGAAUCUUCGGCAAUGGGGGGAACCCUGACCGAGCAACGCCGCGGCAGUGAAGAAGGUUUUCGGAUCGUAAAGCUCUGUUGUAAGAGAAGAACGAGUGUGAGAGUGGAAAGUUCACACUGUGACGGUAGCUUACCAGAAAGGGACGGCUAACUACGUG